rnacentral:sRNA from 1 species
ACUUCCAGCCCGAGCCGCCGCCCGCUCGCCGGGCUCCUGCUCUUUGUUAUUCUGCGGGAGUGGGCUCGCCCGGGGGCCCCUGUGUGUGUGCGUGCGCGCGCGGAGGGGCGCAGCGAUUAUCUCCGGGAGCCCCGCGUCCGGGACCGCCCGGGACACUUCUCCCCGUACUUCGCUCUCGGUGCUCUGCUGUGCCUUCUCCACGGGUGAAUUUCCGAGCGCUCGGCGCGGCUCGACUUCCCUCUCUGCCGCUCCGGAGACCUUUGUGUGGCAAUUACCACUCCCUCCCGGCCCCUCCACCCCCCGGAAUUUCAUCAAUAACUCUGUGCACAGUCUGUGUGAAUUGAGGGUGGCUUCUGGUGUUUUGUGUGGCUUCAUCAUUUCCUUCCUGCCUCUCAUCCACUUCAUGAUGCACUAGAAAAACACCCCAACUCACCAAUGACAGCAAAGCAGAUAUUGGAAGUCAUUCAGAAAGAAGGGUUAAAAGAAACAAGUCUGGUUUCAGACCCCGGCAUGGCUUGGAGACAGCGUUGGUGUGUAUGAAGGAUCUUCCUCCAAUGA